rnacentral:lncRNA from 1 species
UUUUUUUUCAAUGUCAAAUAAGGAAACGAAAUUUAAGAUAGUGUUAAAUAAGGAAUUUUCUCUACAAUAUUUGGGUCCAUCAGGCGUAAAAUUAGUACGUACUAUUUUAAAGAAUAUCUCAGGGAUGCUAAAUAAAGAGCUCUCGUGACCGGCUACACACAGGUGGUGAGUGAUGUUGAAGGCCAGCUCAAAGAGAGCACGAGGACCCCUCAAAAAAAAAGAGCACGAGGAGGGAGUAUGGGCAUGGCCAUUUGAUGGCGAGGCCUCCCUCCCUGACGUCCCUGUGGAGGUGGCGCGUCAUCAUAAUAGGAACGAGGAGACGGGGAGGCUUGCCGGACCACGGAGGUUCCUCUGGUGGCUGUGGCAAGGGAAGAAGAGGUUUGGUUUACUCGAAUUUAGGCGAAGCCGAGCGACGACCGUGGCGUCCAUGGGAGCGCACGGGAGCUCCUUGAGCUCGUUUGAGCGGUCGGGGAGGGCUAUGGGAGAGAGGGGGGGCUGUUGGUGGUCUCGGAAGACCUCGGGGAUGGCUCAAAUAGCCGGGGCGAAGCUCGAUGGAUGGCCACGGCCACGGCGAUGCGUGUGCCGCAUACCGGUGCUCCAGAGAUUGCACGCGGUGUGGAGAGGCUCAGGGACACGCGGAGGGAGCUUGAGGAGGGCGUGAUCGACAAGCCAUGGUGGUGGCGACACGGACGCGGCUGUUGUGGAGUGAGGAAGAAGAAAGAGGAGGGGACAAGGGCUCCAGAGCGAGCGCGUGGCCUUGGCAAAGCUCCUGGACAAGGUGUGUUGGGAAGAGCUCGGCGGAUGAGCAGUGGCCGAGGGCCCCAACUCCGGAGCACGUAGUUUGGCAAUGCCAGCCGCAUGGUCACCGCGUGGUCGUGGCGUUGCCACACGUUCUAGGAGGCUCGGGCAUGUCUGUUAAGUUGGGCACUCCCCCAGUAGUUGCUAGCAAGAAGAAGACAGCCACAAUGGCUCAAGGGAUGACUGGACCAAGCUCAAACCUAAAUCAACAACAAGGUGUUUGAUUAGUGAUUGGGGAAAUGCAAAUGGCCAAUGGGCCUGAGUUUUGGCUGAGGAUGAUUAUCCACUAAGGUGAUCACUAUGGCAAAGAUUCAGCACAAUUGGAGGGGUAUAGCUGGCACUUCUUCACAAACUGCCACACUGGACAGAAAUAUGAAAAUGGAAGCUGCACUCACAUGGAGUGUUUGAUUGAGUUGAAAUUUUGUAGAGAAUGAUCAAUUGGGCAUAUGAAGGCACUGUAGAAAUUUCAUACCAUUUGGACAUUUAAAAACGGUACUUCCUUCAUAUUGAUCCUCUCUGCACAAAAACUUAGGAAAAUUCUAAAGAAUUAUUGGCUCGAUUAAAUGAGCUCAAAUUUUGUGGAUAGAGGUUAUAUAGAUAGUAUAAUGUCCUGGUAAAAUUUCAGAAAUUAUGGAGCAAUAUAAAAUAUAGUUGCUUCACAAACUGAAAUAAUGACCAGAAACAAAGAUUGGAUGGUGUCCAAAGGAAUUUUGAGAAUUUUGUAGGAAACAGAAAUAUACGUUGCUUCACAACCUAGGGCAAACAGGGUUAUUCCUUUAAUGAAAAAAGGAAUAUUCCCAAGGAAUAAAUAUUGGGAUUGGACUAAUAUGAAAAUGACAUGGUCUUGGAUGAAUUUGAGAUUGAAAAGCCACUUGGGAGAGUAAAUAGAGAUGAUUUUCCCAGGUUUCCAGACCACAAAGCCACAGAAAAAUAAAUCCAAGGCAAAAUUCAAAGAAAUCCAAAAGAAAAAGCAAGGGCAAAAAACCAGGGUGUCACGGGAUAUGACUUGUAUGAUCAGUAAAGAUUCUCAUUGGAAAACUCAGGUAUCAGAAACGUAACGUCAACUUAAUAUCAAGAACAUGACUUGUAGGAUUAGUAAGGAUUCGCAAUGGAAAUCUCAGACUUAUAGGAUAUUUCUAUUUUCCUCGCCAAUAAAAGAAGUUCCUCCAAAUGAAUAAAUCAUACAAUAGUGCCAAAUAAUGUAGUAAUAGUUUAGUGGCCUUUCAAGGCCAACUGCAAUAACAGUAGUUUGGUAGCUUAAAUGGCUAGGCCGUAAAAAAAUAGACUGAUUUUUAUGAUCAAGUGUAUGAUGAGAGGGAUUGUAGGGCAUCCGUGGAGGUGCCGAAGAGUGCGACUCCACCUCACUGACGUCAGCCAUGAGGGUUGUUGCGGCCUCGCACGGCGGGCACACACUGGCAUACACUCAACAGACGAGCCACGAAUGGCCUCGUCGGCUGCGCGCCAAUGAAGGGGUUGCACAUCCGCCACGGCGUUCGGACGCUAGACGGAGCGCACCACCUCUGGCGAGGCAGCGAUGACGCGUUGCGCGUUCAAUCCAUGCGCCAUUUGGGCAGACGCGAUGGAUUCCAGCGGAUCGAGUCCGACCUCUGUCAGGCAUUCUCCUCGCGGGCGCGGCGAAGGGUAAUGCAGGCACAACGGAGGGCAAUGCAGAUGGACAUAUCCUCCUCUAGUCCAACUGGGACGAGAUCCUACUUCAAAGAUCGGCUGACGGAGGGCUCGGAUCCGCUGCCUGCCAUGCGGGAGAAGGCCAGAGUUCGCCAGAAGUGAGCUUGAGUGCAUAGGGGAGGAGAGACUGGGAGUGGAGUGGUUAGGGUUUGGUCCGGUAAGCGGAUGUGGACGAAUAUAUGUGGGGUCGGGAUGGUACAUCGUGGGUCGGAUCUGACGUGUGGGACGUGCCCAGGCCUUCCCAUAUCAGACGUACAUUUGGGUUGAAUAUGAUGGGUGCCAGUCACCCUGGGCGUUUGAGAGCUCUUUGGGUCGCAUUUUUUUGACCGGUCACUGACUGGGUAGUCCACGCAGAUGUUUGAGGGGGUUUGAGGCGUCUGUUUGGGUCGCAUAUUUUUUAACGGGUCACUGAUCCAGCAGUCCGCGCGGACGUUUUAGGGAGGUUUGAGACGACUGACUGUAGAUGUUCUAAUAAAACUCAAAAAGAAACUGAGAAAAGCUUGCUGGGCCUUUAUAUGUUUUUUGGAACGACCACUAAACAAAAUGCGACCGGCCAGGGAAGACACAAGGCCAUCGAUACAACCACUAAACAAACUGCGAACAGACUCUAAUAAAAACAAAAAAAAAGAAAAACAGCAGAUACAUAGUGUUGCCGAAGCAGCUUACAAGCACCAAAGACUACAAGCCCUAUAAAGAUAAGCAAAUUAAGCACUAGCUAGUAGUCGAUGGAGUCCUCCAUGUGAAGUAGAUCAAGUAGAGCAAAUGGAAGGGUUCUUCAUACGGAGACAGAGUCCAGUGAUGGCCGCGCCCUCAUCUACACCGAAAGGUGGACACCUUGGUCGAUCCGCUCCUCUCCAAAUCCAGAGAGACCCCUGCCCCUCGCCUUGGCUCGAAAGGCGCCGGACCGCUGGAAGAUGGAAAUGAAGGAAAUAUGCCCUAGAGGCAAUAAUAAAGUUAUUAUUUAUUUCCUUAUAUCAUGAUAAAUGUUUAUUAUUCAUGCUAAAAUUGUAUUAACCGGAAACAUAAUACAUGUGUGAAUACAUAGACAAAUAGUAUGUCACUAGUACGCCUCUACUUGACUAGCUCGUUAAUUGAAGAUGGUUAUGUUUCCUAACCAUAGACAUGUGUUGUCAUUUGAUUAAUGGGAUCACAUCAUUAGGAGAAUGAUGUGAUUGACACGACCCAUUCUGUUAGCUUAGCACCCGAUCAUUUAGUAUGUUGCUAUUGCUUUCUUCAUGACUUAUACAUGUUCCUAUGACUAUGAGAUUAUGCAACUCCCGUUUGCCGGAGAAACACUUUGUGUGCUACCAAACGUCACAAUGUAACUGGGUGAUUAUAAAGGUGCUCUACAGGUGUCUCCAAAGGUACAUGUUGGGUUGGCGUAUUUCGAGAUUAGGAUUUGUCACUCCGAUUGUCGAAGAGGUAUCUCUGAGCCCUCUCGGUAAUGCACAUCACUUAAGCCUUGCAACCAAUGCAACUAAUGAGUUAGUUGCGAGAUGAUGUAUUACGGAACGAGUAAAGAGACUUGCCGGUAACGAGAUUGAACUAGGUAUUGAGACACCGAUGAUCGAAUCUCGGGCAACUAACAUACCGAUGACAAAGGGAACAACGUAUGUUGUUAUGCGGUAUGACCGAUAAAAGAUCUUCGUAGAAUAUGUAGGAGCCAAUAUGAGCAUCCAGGUUCCGCUAUUGGUUAGUGAUCGGAGACGUAUCUCGGUCAUGUCUACAUUGUUCUCGAACCCGUAGGGUCCGCACGCUUAACGUUACGAUGACAGUUUCAUUAUGAGUUUAUAUAUUUUUGAUGUACCGAAUGUUUUUCGGAGUCCCGGAUUUGAUCACAGACAUGACGAGGAGUCUCGAAAUGGUCGAGACAUUAAGAUUGAUAUAUUGGAAGCCUAUGUUUGGACAUCGGAACUGUUCCGGGUGAAAUCGGCAUUUUACCGGAGUACCGGGAGGUUACCGGAACCCCCCGGUAACCUAAUGGGCCUUAAUGGGCCUAGUGGAGGAAGAGGAGAGGAGGCCUAGGGGCAGCCGCGCGCCCCUCCCCCUCAAGUCCGAAUUGGACAAGGAGGGGGGCGGCGCCCCCCCCCCNNNNNNNNNNNNNNNNNNNNNNNNNNNNNNNNNNNNNNNNNNNNNNNNNNNNNNNNNNNNNNNNNNNNNNNNNNNNNNNNNNNNNNNNNNNNNNNNNNNNNNNNNNNNNNNNNNNNNNNNNNNNNNNNNNNNNNNNNNNNNNNNNNNNNNNNNNNNNNNNNNNNNNNNNNNNNNNNNNNNNNNNNNNNNNNNNNNNNNNNNNNNNNNNNNNNNNNNNNNNNNNNNNNNNNNNNNNNNNNNNNNNNNNNNNNNNNNNNNNNNNNNNNNNNNNNNNNNNNNNNNNNNNNNNNNNNNNNNNNNNNNNNNNNNNNNNNNUACUCCCGGUGGGAGUAGGACUCCUCCGGCGCGCCUACUCCUAGGGUCGGCCGCACCCCCCCUUGCUCCUUUAUAUACGGGGGCAGGGGGCCACCUCUAGACACACAAGUUGAUCUUCGUGAUCGUUCUCUUAGCCGUGUGCGGUGCCCCCUUCCACCAUACUCCUCAAUAAUAUUGUAGCGGUGCUUAGGCGAAGCCCUGCGACGGUAGAACAUCAAGAUCGUCACCAUGCCGUCAUGCCGACGGAACUCUUCCCCGACACUUUGCUGGAUCGGAGUCCGGGGAUCGUCAUCGAGCUGAACGUGUGCAAGAACUCGGAGGUGCCGUAGUUUCGGUGCUUGAUCGGUUGGGCCAUGAAGACGUACGACUACAUCAACCGCGUUGUUAUAACGCUUCCGCUUUCAGUCUACGAGGGUACGUGGAUAACACUCUCUCCUCUCGUUGCUAUGCAUCACCAUGAUCUUGCGUGUGCGUAGGAAUUUUUUUGAAAUUACUACGUUUCCCAACAGGAAAAGCUCAUCCUAGAGCAAGGAUUGGACACGAUUCCGGGCACCAUGGGAGGUUCUCAACCCGACACAACGCUGCACAAGGAUAACCCGACAAAUUGCCACACCGCGGUUCACUGCUACAACCACCAAGAGGAAAAACUGCACAAGGGAGCUGACACUGAACAAACGAACAACAAGAAAGAUGAAGCAACAUAACAGGAAGCAAAUCAAGCCCGUAGGAAUCAGCUUCGUGCCCAAGCCACCGCAUCAAGUUGCUGCUAGCAAGAGAGAGGAACCCUAUCCCCUCCCUGCCCAAGAAUAUGCCGCCACAUCCGGCGAGCAAGCAAAACAGAGAUCGGGCUAUGAACAAAGCACCAAGCUUCACCUCCCUCGCUAAUGACGCAGCCAACCCGACAACCAUCUCACAACACUCUGCACUCACCUACCAUGCCCAAGAUGACACCUUCAAGAAGGUGUUGACGCACGUCGCGUCAUUGCCGUCCAGUCUUGAAAAGACAAAAGGUUUUCACCCGGGUCAUGGAGCGGGAGGGAGAGGAAACGAACCUCUACCUCGACGAUGCCUCCGAGGAGGGGAACGACACCUGCCUGUGUCGCCAACGCCGUGGCCGAAGAACCGGCCAAGGAUUUCUCCCGGUCAUGUUCCGCAACUCCAGGCAUCCCCACCUUCAACGGAACUGGCAUCCAGAGGCCGCUGACGACCAGAUCCGGCGAGGAGGAGCGAUGCAAGGGGAGGAGGAAGCAGCCUUCAUAUCCGGAUGCGAGCAAGGAGACCGCGCCCCCGCCGUGGCCGGCGACAGCGCCCGCCGUCACUCCGCUGCCCUCGCGGCCAAGGAGACGGGGGACAACACCCGCGACGCCGCUCGCCCAGAAACGGCGCCGCCGCCCCACCCGAGGCUGCCGCCUCGGCGCCCAAAGCCCUCUGCGAGGAGAGAAGCAACAAGAUCCUUGCCGCCGCCGUCCUGGGCGACCAUGCAGGCUUCGCCGGAGGCCUCCUCAGGCAGCGACGAGGGAGGAAGGGGGGAGGGGAGGCCGGCGGCUAGGGUUUCGUCGCCGCCCGUGUCGCCCCAAGCGGAGCGACGCGGGGGCUAGGAUGGGGGUGUUUCCGUGUUCGCUAGGCCUUUAUUAUGGGGUUGCUUGGAUACCGGGCGUUAGCCAUGGGAAUAUACAAAACUAGCUUUCAGCAGAUUUUUUGCAAAACCCGUUUUAAUACCAUUUUUAUGAAUAACAGGUUUAUGGAAAAUCGUGUUUGUUUUGGGGAAGUAAUAAAUUGGGCCUUUGUAAUUCUUUGUUUGGAAACCUGUUGUAUAUUACGCAUGACAUCUUCCCAAGCAUGGCUGACUCCUCUGCCCGCCUUCCCUCCGGCCACCAUGAUUGAGAGCGUUACCCCGGCGAGAGGUUCCAAUGGUGGUCGGAUUGCAUCUCGCCUGACCUCGAGCCUCGACGAGUCGGCGUGCCGCUGCAGGUGGGCGCUUUUGCUGGUGGCCGCGAGGUCGUCGUCCCCGGCACUAUCUCGGCCCUGGCUGCUGCUCGCCUUCUCACCGGCCACCACGACUCCGUGUGCGGCCGCUGGUAGGGCUCUUCCCCUGAUUGCAGAGGUUGCCGCUCCCGAAUAGACUCUACCCCUCGCUGCUCCUCGCCUUGCUUCAGGCCUCCACAACUCUGCAAGCGGCCGUCGGCGGGCGCUUCCUCUGGUUGCCGAGAUCUUCGCCACAACACGUACUCUGCCCCGGGCUACUACUCACCUCCCUUCCAGCCUUCACGACUUCGCGCGGGCGCCGGCAGGAGCUUCUCCUGGUCACCGAGGUCGUCGCUCGUUCAUAGACUUUGCCUCGGGCUACUUCUCGUGUCUCCUUCGGCUUCAACGACUCCGGGCAAGGCCUUCGGCGGGCGCUCCUCCUGGUCCCCAAGGUCGUUGCACAACUAGAAUAAUGGAGGAUAAACUCCAUGGCAGCGCGACGGCUCCUCUUUGGAUGAGUAUUGAGAAUAUGCAAAUCGCGUUUUUAGAAAAACCAGUAGUAGACGUUUUUCCAUAAACCCGGAAUUCUGGGUUUACGGGAAACAAGUAUCCUAUAUCCAUGAAUUUGUUAUGGUAGCCAAACAAGAUUUUGUUUUGUUAAACUGUUUUCCUAGUUUAUAGAGAAUGGAUUAUGUAUAUUCCACCUAUCCAAACAACCUCUAUAAGUAGCUAAAACAUGUUUUUUUAGGAUCAAUGCCGCUUUAUUAAUUAAACAUAGCUGGGGAUCUCAUCAGAGAGAACCUGGAUAAUAGACUCAGGUGGACCAACCCACCAAACAUUACAAACUUCAUCACCUAAACCUAUUUUGGCUAAUUUAUCCGCGGCACCAUUUGCUUCUCGCUUUGUCCAUGUAACCUUCACCUGCAGAAACUGGUUAAGCAUCUGCUUAAUCUCUUCAACACUCGGCCCCAAGAUGGAGAGGUCUUGUUCAGACUUGUUGAUCGCCGCGACGACUCCCAGGCAAUCCAGCUCGACAUGAAGAUUCUGCAUGUUAGCCUCACUAGCCAGCUGAAUAGCACGUUUACAGGCUUCCACCUCCACCAUCUCGGCACUGGGGGCCCGGUCGACGAAAGAGCAAGCAGCAGCCCGAAAGCCACCGUGAUGAUCUCUGAGCACUACCCCCGCACCACCCUUGCCUCUGUCCUUGGAGAACGCUCCGUCAGCAUUGGCUUUGAUCCAUCCCUCCUCCAGCGCCUCCCAUUUUCUUCUCGCACCCGGUUCCCGAACCGGCGAGGGUUUAUGAUGGAUGUUUCGCCAUUCUUCAGUCAACCGCACCACCCGCUCCAUUAUUUCAUGUGGUUCUUCGAUCCGUUUUCCAUCCCGGGCUUCAUUGCGAGCUAGCCACAGCACACAGACCGACUGGACCAUCAUCGACCUUUCCUCCUCUUCUGCUUGCUGGAACCACUCCAGGAGCCAUGUUGCAACUUCACUCUGGGAACCAAGCUGACACGGUGGGAUCGCCACCGCAAUUCCCUUCUCCGAACGCAGUCUUUUCCAGUAGAGUACCGAAUGGGGACAGCCCCAAAAUCUAUGAUAGAUUGUUUCUUCUCGACCACAUGUCGUGCAAAAAACUCCCGCCUUGAUCUUCCUCGUCCGCAGUUCAUGCCCAACGGCUAAACCAUUGCGAAGCAGGCGCCACAUGUGGAUCUUUGCUUUCCCCGGAGCUGAAGUGUCCCACAUCGCCAUCCAGCUCUUAUGCUGGUCAGAUGACGAUGACUCCUGUCGUCCCGUCCGUGCUCAGUUCAUUGAUACACGCAGGUGAUAUGCCGAGCGAACCGUGAAGUAACCAUCUUUAGUGAAGUUCCAAGCCAAGUGAUCAUCUGCACCUGGUCCUCCAACGACAAUUUGCUUGAUGUCUUCAACGUCCUCCUGUGAGAACAUCCUCUCCAGCAGCUGCUCGUUCCAACUCGUACCCCCUUGGUUUAGCAAGUGGCAGACCUUCGUGACCCCCAUGACAUACUCAGCACCCAGUGGUGAUAAGCUGCCCUUUCUCGGUAUCCACUGAUCAUGGUGGAUGUUAAUCUUGGUGCCAUCUCCCACUCGCCACACUAGCCCUGCUCGAAGAAGAUCUCUCCCAUGAAGAAUACUUCUGAAUGUGUAUGAUCCACUAUCAGGACAUGUUGCAUUCAUAAUGUCGCCAUCUUUGAAAUAUCUGGCCUUCAAGACACGCGCACAGAGCGAGGAGGGAACCCGCAAGAUCCUCCAUGCCCGCUUGGCCAAUAACGCCUGGUUAAACGCCUCGGCGUCCCUAAAACCCAUGCCUCCUUCCUUCUUUGCAGCACACAUUUUAUCCCAGGCAAUCCAAUGCACUUGGCGCUCUCCAUUCACUGCCCCCCACCAGAAUUUCGACGAGAUAGAUGUCAGGUUCCGGCACAUCUUCUUUGUGAGGAGAAAACAGCUCAUAGUAAAUGCAGGAGUAGCUUGCAGCCCAGAUUUCACAAGAACUUCCCUUGCUUUUUUUGAGAGGCCUUGCCCCUUCCAACCCGUAACCUUGUUUUUUGAGCUUUCAACCACAUAUUGGAAAGACCCAUCCUUAGCUCUCCCCACCACCGUUGGGAGACCCAAAUACCUCUCACUCAACGCCUCUGUUUCAAUCCCGAUCGAUGCCUUGAGGACCUCUUUUUGAUCCUGCUGACACCCCUUCCCAAAGAAAAUGGAGGAUUUAUGUAAGUUUACCUUCUGUCCUGACGCUUAUUCAUAUAUACCCAAUAUAUCCUUCGGAGCUAGAAAGUUGUCAACACAACCUUGAAGAAAGAUAAUACUGUCAUCAGCGAACAGAAGAUGAGUCACUUGGGGGCCAGUGCUCCCAAAAGACACACCCUUUAUAAGAUUAUCCUCUUGGGCCUUUUUCAGUAACGCAGAAAAACCUUCCACGCAGAACAGGAAUAGAUAUGGGGACAAAGGGUCUCCUUGCCGUAAUCCUCGGGAUGGAGUAAACAUUCUGGACAGCCCACCGUUAAGCUUGACAACAAAAUUUGCCGACGUUACACACCUCAUGAUCAUGGCUACCCAUGCAUUGUCAAACCCAAACUUGAGGAGCAUUUGCUCUAGGAACACCCAUUCCACUCUAUCGUAGGCUUUCAUCAUAUCCAACUUGACUGCACAAAGUGGUUUCUUCCUCUUUCUCUUUCUUAUGGCAUGCACACACUCAUAGGCCACAAAAACAUUAUCUAUGAUUAGUCGGCCCGGGACAAAAGCACUUUGUUCCUCCGAGAUAAGUAUCGGCAAAAUAGCUUUUAACCUGUUAGCUAGCACCUUAGAGGCAAUUUUAUACAAAACAUUACAGAGGCUGAUCGGGCGAAAUUGCGAAAGCAACUCCGGUGAGUUAACUUUCGGGGUCAUAACAAUCACCGUCGCAUUAAAAGCCUCCGGAGCUGCUACUCCAGCAAGAAAAUCACGCACCACCGUGCACACUUCUUCCUUUACAAGUGACCAGUGUCGUUAAUAAAAGAGGGAUGGCAGCCCAUCAGGGCCCGGUGCCUUUGUUGGCCCCAUCUGGAACAGCGCAUGCUCUAUCUCCUCGUCAGUGACCGGUGUCACAAGUCUCUGGUUCAUAUUCUCAGAAAUGAUGCUAGGAAUAUUCUGGAGUAAUGCUUGGGCACCCACUGACCCCUCAGAUGUAAACAACACUUCAUAGAAUUUUGCUGCCAUCUCUCUCAUCUCUUCAUUCACCAUGCACUUUGACCCAUCAUCUCGAAGCAACGCUCGAACUGUAUUUUUCCGCUUUCUAUGCGAGGCCCUUCCCUGAAAAUACUUCAUAUUCAUAUCGCCCGCUGCUAGCCAGUCCACUCGCGACCGCUGUCGUUGCAUCACUUCUUCCCGCGCAUAUACCUCUCGCAGCUGUUCUUCUAUUUCUCUCACUUCUGAUUGGUAGCCUGUCCGUAGAGCUUGGAACUUUGCAUCCUUUAACUGAACUUGCAGCUGCUUUAUUUGGUUUCGUAUCGAUCCAAAAACUACUCUUCCCCACUCUUGCAUACCUUUUGAAAGCGUAGACAGCCUGCUGCAUGUAGCUGAAAUACCCAACCCCCCUGUGUCCGCUGCAUUCCAUUUUUCAACGACCAUUGACUCGUACCGCUCAUGCCUUGUCCACGCUUCCUUGUACCUGAACUGCCUGGGGCCUCGAUCAUCCCGCUCUGAAGCCGUCUCCAGAACCUUGGCCACCAGCGCACAGUGAUCCGAUUCCUCCGUGAUUAUAUGUUGGACAUGUGUAUCCAGAAACAUUGCCAUGAACUCAUUAUUGCAUGUGUCUCGGUCCAAUCUAACUUGGAUAUUCUCAUUUCCUUGUCUUCUGUUAUCCCAUGUAUAGGGAUACCCGGAGAAGCAGAGGUCAGCUAGGCCGCAGUCGGCCAAGCAAUCACGAAAGUCUUCCAUUUGGAUGAAACUCCUCGGGUUACCACCUCGUUGCUCAGUUUGCAGUAAAGCCUCAUUAAAGUCACCAAGGCACAGCCAUGGUAACUCAUCUUGUCUUCUCAGGUAUCGAAGAGCGUCCCAUGAUUUCUUCCUAUGCUCCACAUCGGGCUCACCGUAGAAUCCAGUGAUCCUACAGGUUUUGCCUUCCCAACCUACUUCCACAUCCAGGAAAUAUUGGCACCAAGGUCGGACAAUGACUUGAAGAUGCUCCCUCCACCACAUCGCUAAACCCCCACUCAAACCUUGACAGUCAAUCGCCACACCACUUCGGAAACCCAAACUCCACUUCAAUUUCUCCAUAGCCUUCGCCUUCUUUUUUGUCUCGCUUAAGAACACCACCGCUGGGUUGUAGGACCUAAUCAGGUCUCGGAGUUCGCCCACUAUUGAGUCCAACCCAGUCCUCGACAGUUCCAGGCCAAGAUGUUCAUUGGGACUGGCGGCCCUGCCUCGCAGGGUCCGCCGAUGCAUCAUGCUGCUCAGAGAUACGGUCAAACAUGGAAGAUGUUUUUUGCCUUGUGUCGCGAAUGAAAGUAUCAUUACCAACUUGCCUCACCGAAUCCCCCUUUACCACCCAAUGUUGCUUCGGCCUUCGCUUCCUAUCUCCAGUGCCAUCAUGAACCGGGCUCCUAGCUGCCCUGUGUUCAUCUUGCUCCGGCCUUGGCUUCCUCACAUAGUAGCCCCUCCUCCUUUCCCUCUCUCUAGUGUGGCUAGAGCUUCCUCCCCCAUAAUGCUCUCUGGACGUAUAUGCUUUGUACUGCGACCUUAGCUCAGCCUGCUUGUUCAUCUGACGGUGCCUCAGUUCAUUGCGCAUAUUCUGCUCCCUUUUUUUCUCAAGCUCAUCCCGCAGGUCCUUGCCCAUCGCCACCUCCGGUCCGUGCCGCUGUUUGUUGGGGCUGGACACUUCACCCUGGACACCAUGCUCAUUCCCGCCAGUGCGAGAAUCAGCAGGUCUGUCAAACUCCCUAUUAAGGUUGCGUUUUGUUGGGAGAUCACGUACAGAUCCCAUCUUCCUGCUGCCCAUAUCCCCUUCACUUGAGCUAACACUCCCAUAGCUACUGGCACUGCUGGUUGGCCCUCUGUAGGAUCCUUCCUUCCUCGCUCCCGAUCUGCCCGGCGAAGCCCGUAGCCAUUCGCCCCACUGUUGGUCUGACUCCACCGGGGGGACACAACCUCCCUCAUUGUGUACCAGCCGUCCACACUCGAAACAAAAGUGCGGAAUCUUUUCGUAGGUGAAAUCAAACCAAGUUUGUUCCAAGUCCUCCUCCGCUUUUUUAAGAUAGAACCCCCGGACCAACGGCUCAUGCACUGAUAAUUUAGCUCUGAAACACAGAUUCGGACCCUUUCACUAGUGCAGAACCGGGCAAUAGCACCGGUUCGUAAGGCCCUUUAGUGCCGGUUCAGGAACCGGCACUAAAGGUUUGGCACUAAAGCCCCCCCCCCUUUAGUACCGGUUCAGCACGAACCGGUGCUAAAGGGGAACCACGUGGCAUGAGCCAGCUCCGGGGGCUGGGAGCCCUUUAGUACCGGUUGGUAACACCAACCGGUACUAAAUGGUUGUGGGUUUUUGUUUUAUUUUGUAUUUUUCAAUUAAAUUUGUGUUAUCAAUUUAAUUUAGGAUUGUUUUACGUUAUAAUGAGUUGUAGUCGUCAUCAUCAUCAUCAUCAUCAUCAUCGCAUAUUAAUAAAUAAAUAAACUCUAGCUAGCUAAAAAUCAUCAUAGUCGUCUAAUUACCACUAUUUAAUGAUCAUAGUCAUUACCGCUAGCUAUCUAAUCAUCAUCAACGCUGGCUAGCUUAAAGAGGAAACAUUCACUUUGUAACAGAAGCAAAGAUAUCAUCAAGUUCAACAUAAUCAUCACCAACAUCGAAGUUCAGGACACGGACAUGAGACAAGUACUAAUUAAGAGCAUGAACUAGCUAGUAGUUACUGAUCCUGCUGCUCCCUCUCAGGUAGAAUAGCAUAGAACAUGUAUAGCUCUCCUGAUUCAUCAUACUGGAGCAUGCAGAUGAAUCUGUCUCCUAAUCUUGGGUUACGCUUAUCCUUGCUGCCCCCUAGUACUUCUCUGCGAUCGUUAACAAUUUUGCUCCAAUCUUUCACUAUUAAGCAUUCUUCGCUUUCAGAAAUCUUGAAUGCACUCAUGUGCAAUGUAGGAAAUCUUGGUCGUAAGCUAACCAUUGACAUGCGACCUUUUGUCUCGAUCCACUGAGGCACAACUGUCAUCGGAAGUCCCUGUUGAAGAACAUCAUAUAGUAAUUAAUAUACUAAGCAAUGAAAGUUUAGCUUCAAAAAUAAUGUAUGCAAAAGAUGCACUAAUUAAGGACAAAUAUUUAAAAUCUUACCAUCUUUCGAUUAUAGAUGUGACCGUAGUUCAAUACGAUCACCAUUGGUCGCACGUUUUGAGUACUAACAUUUCUAAGUUUAGGAAAAAAAAUUGUCUUGACAGUAUUAAGAUCCUCAAGCCAUGAAACAUAAUGAUUUAUCUCCUCACAGUUUAGUUGAGCCCCGAGGCAGUAGUAGGUCCUGUCUACCAAGCGCCGGACAUAUUUGCUUGAACCGAAAUAAGCUGACAAUACAAAUUAGUUAUCAACUAUUUUUGAAUAAACUGUAUGAAAGACAUAAACAUAUGCAUGCAUGGUUGAGAAAAACUCACCAAAUGGUAGAAUUGGAGGCGUUUGCACAUCGACCCAGAUGUCUAUAUUACCUUCAAUAUCAUCUUCCGGACGAAUAUCAAAGGUGAUAACCAUAUCAGGCUCAAAUGCAUAAGUCUUGCAUAGUGCUUGCCAAGUUUUGCAUUCAAAAUGGGUGUAUGUGUCUCCAUUAUAUAAUUUGACGUUAAAAGUAUACCCAUGCUCCGUCUUCAAGUAAACUCUCUUUACCUUCAUAUCAUCUAUAACACUAAAACCUAUCUUAUCCAAGACAAAAAUUCUUGCAUGGCAGGGGAUGCGCUAGUAGAAUAGUGAAAAUUUAAAAUUAUAAGUUGAAGCAAAUGAAUCAUAAGUUUUGCAUUCAAAUAAUAAUUGACAAAGUGACUUACUGUAUCAACUUCGAAUGUCUCAUCCAGCUUGAUGCUGAAGCGCCUACCAUCAACAAGAAAAUUUUGGUCGCACAGGCCGCGCUGGUCUUCACAGUAUUCGCACAUAAUGAAAUCUUUUUCGUCGUCAGAUGACAUUUCCUAUGUUCAUAUAGGUGAAACAUUAAACACCUAUAUCUAGCCAAAUAUAUAUUCAUCUAACAUUUGACAUUAAUAUAUCUAACUAUAUAUUCAAUUGACACUACUAUAUAUUUAACUUUUCUAGUUCAAAUCUCAUAUAACUAGUUAUAUUAAUUAUUGAACUAGUUCAAAUCUCAUAUACCUAAAUUUUCUUACUAAAAAUAAACUAGUUAUAUUAAUUAUUCAACUAGUUCUAAUCUCAUAUACCUAAAUUUUCUUACUAAAAAUAAACUAGUUAUAUUAAUUAUUGAACUAGUUCAAAUCUCAUAUACCUAAAUUUUCUUACUAAAAAUAAACUAGUUAUAUUAAUUAUUCAACUAGUUCUAAUCUCUAGUUCGACAAUUUUUCUAUCUAGCUAGCUAAUUCAUCUAACAUUCGANNNNNNNNNNNNNNNNNNNNNNNNNNNNNNNNNNNNNNNNNNNNNNNNNNNNNNNNNNNNNNNNNNNNNNNNNNNNNNNNNNNNNNNNNNNNNNNNNNNNNNNNNNNNNNNNNNNNNNNNNNNNNNNNNNNNNNNNNNNNNNNNNNNNNNNNNNNNNNNNNNNNNNNNNNNNNNNNNNNNNNNNNNNNNNNNNNNNNNNNNNNNNNNNNNNNNNNNNNNNNNNNNNNNNNNNNNNNNNNNNNNNNNNNNNNNNNNNNNNNNNNNNNNNNNNNNNNNNNNNNNNNNNNNNNNNNNNNNNNNNNNNNNNNNNNNNNNNNNGGCCGGGUAUGCGCGAGGAGAGAGCGAGAUACGUACGGACGGCGGCGUGGGACAACGACAGGACCGCGGCGCGGGACGACGACGGACGGCGGCGCGCGGCGUUCGGGACGGCGGCGGGGUCGACGACGACGACGACGACGGGCGACGGGAGAUGUAACUGAAAUUUCGUAAGUGAUGUAUAUAUAGGGUGAGCCUUUAGUACCGGUUGGAGCCACCAACCGGUACUAAAGGCCUUGCGCUGCCACCCCAAAGUUUAGUCUCACCUCGCCCGAUGAAGGGCAGCCGCACUGGUUUAUAAACCCAGCCGCGGCUACCUCUUCGAACUCCUCUAUAUAGCAGGCUUCUGGGCCUAAUUAAUUAGGGUGCGCUGCCCUGUGAGCCUGCUGGCCCUUCUGGGCCUGCAUUUGCACACCCUAGGGUCUGGCAGGCCCACUGGCAGCAUGCCAACAAAUUUUUUAUAUAGUUUUUUCUUUUCUGCAUUACUUAUUUUCUUCUAUUUAUUUUUGAGUAAUUUUUUAUAUUGUUUUUUCUUUUCCGCAUUAUUUAUUUUCUUCUAUUUAUUUUUGAGUAAUUUUUUUGUAUAGUUUUUUUAUUUUCUGCAUUAUUUGAAGUGGCCAUGUAACAGAUGAAGUGCGUCCAGUUUUUGUCGUGACCCUCUCUACUCUUUCGCGCAUGCUAUGCGGGUGAUAUGAUGAUACCAUGCCAAGUUUCAACAUUUUCAGGGUUCAUUUUGUAGUGAUUUUCAAUUUCACGGUCAUUUAGCUCUCUAAACAAUUAGGUAAAUGACCGAAAAACAACAAAUGAUGUCAGAACAUGUUGGAAAUUGAUGACGUCGCUUUAAAUGCUGCAUACUGAACACAAAAGAAGUCCGGAGUUCAAAUAAGUUAUUAAAAAUAAAAAAGAGGUGCAAUGCUGGUUAAUUUGCUUCAAGCCAUUCGGAAUAGUGUAGACUGCACUGCACAUAGCUCAGUGCAAUCUAUGCUAUUCUGCAAGGCUUGAAGCUAAUCAACAUGUAGGUGAGCAUUGCAACUCUUCGUCAUUGUCUGUGCACUCACGGCUUAUAAACCGCUCAUACUGCCUCUCUCUUGGCGAAGAUCACAAGAUAGUUUGGUUAAAUUGCAUUACUUGUAAGUCUAGUUAACAUGGAUGCUUAUGAUGCAAGAGCAACAGCAAAAGUGAAAAUUUGGCACAAAUAGUUAGUUGUGUAACUAAAAUAGGUAGGAGGAGAGAUAGCUCUUAUGUCACAAAAAAGAAGUUGUAUCAAACCUUUUAUGUCGGAUCUAGAACAAACCAAUCGGUAUCGCCAUCAUACAGCCCAACCGUGGCUCGUGAUGCAUAUAUAUGCAUAUCAAAUGCACGGUUGGACGUAUGAUGGCGAAUCCGAAUGAUUUGUAUUCAGUCGAUGAACUGGUAGAUGUAUGCAGUCGAUGAACUGGUAGAUGUGCUGGGGAACGUAGCAUAAAUUCAAAAUUUUCCUACGUGUCACCAAGAUCUAUCUAUGGAGUCAUCUAGCAACGAGGGAGGACUGGAUCUACAUACCCUUGUAGAUCGCGCGCGGAAGCGUUCAAGAGAACGGGGUUGAUGGAGUCGUACUCGUCGUGAUCCAAAUCACCGAUGAUCCUAGCGCAGAACGGACGGCACCUCCGCGUUCAACACACGUACGGAGCAGCGACGUCUCCUCCUUCUUGAUCCAGCAAGGGGAAAGGAGAGGUUGAUGGAGAUCUAGCAGCACGACAGCGUGGUGGUGGAAGUAGCGAGAUUCCAACAGGGCUUCGCCAAGCGCUGCGGGAGGAGGGAGACGUGUCAUGGGAGGGAGAGGGAGGCGCCAGGGCUUAGGUAUGGUUGCCCUCCCUUCCCCCCACUAUAUAUAGGGCCAAGGGAGGGGGGCGCAGCCUUGGCCCUUCCUCCAAGGAAGGGUGCGGCCAGGGAGGAGUCCCACCUCCCCAAGGCACCUAGGAGGUGCCUUCCCCCUUUAGGACUCUUCCUUUCCCUCAUCUCUUGGCGCAUGGGCCUCUUGGGGCUGGUGCCCUUGGCCCAUAUAGGCCAAGGCGCACCCCCUACAGCCCAUGUGGCCCCCCGGGGUAGGUGGCCCCACCCGGUGGACCCUCGGGACCCUUCCGGUGGUCCCGGUACAAUACCGGUGACCCCGAAACUUGUCCCGAUGGCCGAAAUAGCACUUCCUAUAUAUAAUUCUUUACCUCCGGACCAUUCCGGAACUCCUCGUGACGUCCGGGAUCUCAUCCGGGACUCCGAACAACUUUCGGGUUACCGCAUACUAAUAUCUCUAUAACCCUAGCGUCACCGAACCUUAAGUGUGUAGACCCUACGGGUUCGGGAGACAUGCAGACAUGACCGAGAUGACUCUUCGGUCAAUAACCAACAGCGGGAUCUGGAUACCCAUGUUGGCUCCCACAUGUUCCACGAUGAUCUCAUCGGAUGAACCACGAUGUCAAGGACUUAAUCAAUCCCGUAUACAAUUCCCUUUGUCUAGUGGUACGAUACUUGCGCGAGAUUCGAUCGUCGGUAUCCCGAUACCUUGUUCAAUCUCGUUACCGGCAAGUCUCUUUACUCGUUCCGUAACACAUCAUCCUGUGAUCAACUCCUUGAUCACAUUGUGCACAUUAUGAUGAUGUCCUACCGAGUGGGCCCAGAGAUACCUCUCCGUCACACGGAGUGACAAAUCCCAGUCUCGAUUCGUGCCAACCCAACAGACACUUUCGGAGAUACCUGUAGUGUACCUUUAUAGCCACCCAGUUACGUUGUGACGUUUGGCACACCCAAAGUAUUCCUAUGGUAUCCGGGAGUUGCACAAUCUCAUGGUCUAAGGAAAUGAUACUUGACAUUAGAAAAGCUUUAGCAUACGAACUACACGAUCUCUGUGCUAGGCUUAGGAUUGGGUCUUGUCCAUCACAUCAUUCUCCUAAUGAUGUGAUCCCAUUAUCAACGACAUCCAAUGUCCAUGGUCAGGAAACCGUAACCAUCUAUUGAUCAACGAGCUAGUCAACUAGAGGCUUACUAGGGACAUGGUGUUGUCUAUGUAUCCACACAUGUAUCUGAGUUUCCUAUCAAUACAAUUCUAGCAUGGAUAAUAAACGAUUAUCAUGAACAAGGAAAUAUAAUAAUAACUAAUUUAUUAUUGCCUCUAGGGCAUAUUUCCAACAGUCUCCCACUUGCACUAGAGUCAAUAAUCCAGUUCACAUCGAUAUGUGAUUAACACUCAAGGUCACAUCCCCAUGUGACUAACACCCAAAGAGUUUACUAUAGUCAAUAAUCUAGUUCACAUUACCAUGUGGUUAACACCCGAUGAGUUCUGGGUUUCAACAUGUUAUGCUUGUGAGAGAUGUUAUAGUCAACGGGUCUGAAUCUUUCAGAUCCGUAUGUACUUCGCAAAUCUCUAUGUCAUCUUGUAGAUGCAGCUACUACGCUAUAUUUGGAGCCAUUUCAAAUAACUGUUCUACUUGGAGCUAUUCUAAAUUGUUUCUCCAUUAUACGUAUCCGGUAUCUCUACUCUGAGCUAUCCGGAUAGGUGUUAAGCUUGCAUCGACGUAACUCUUUACGUCGAACUCUUUAUCACCUCCAUAACCGAGAAACAUAUCCUUAUUCCUCUAAGGAUAAUUUAGACCGCUAUCUGGUGAUCUACUCCUAGAUUACCUUUGUACCCUCUUGCCAGAUAUGUGGCAAGGCACACAUCAGGUGUGGUACUCAGCAUGGCAUACCGUAUAGAGCCUAUGACAAAAGCAUAGGGGAUGACCUUCGUCCUUCCUCUUUCUUCUGCCGUAGUCGAGCUUUAAGUCUUAACUUCAUACCUUACAACUCAGGCAAGAACUCCUUCUUUGACUGGUCCAUCUUGAACACGUUCAAGAUCAUGUCAAGGUAUGUGCUCAUUUGAAAGUACCAUUAAGAAUUUUGAUCUAUCCUUAUAGAUCUUGAUGCUCAAUGUUCAAGUAGCUUAAUCCAGGCUUUCCAUUGAAAAAUACUUUCCAAAUAACCCUAUAUGCUUUCCAGAAAUUCUACGUCAUUUCUGAUCAACAAUAUGUCAACAUAUAUUUAUCAGAAAUUCUAUAGUGCUCCCACUCACUUCUUUGGAAAUACAAGUUUCUCAUAAACUUUGUAUACACCCAAAACUUUGAUCAUCUUAUCAAAGCAUACAUUCCAACUCCGAGAUGCUUACUCCAGUCCUUAGAAGGUUUGCUGGAGCUUUGCAUACUUAUUAGCAUCUUUCGGGAUUAACAAAACCUUCCGGUUGUAUCACAUACAACCUUUCCUAAAAAAUCGUCGAGGAAACAAUGGUUUUUGGCAUCCUAUCUGCAAGAUUUCACAAAUAAUACAGUAAUUGCUAAUAUAAUUCCAACAGACUCUUAGCAUCGCUACGAGUGAGAAAGUCUCAUCGUAGUCAACUCCUUGAACUUGUCGGAAAACAUCUUAACGACAAGUCGAGCUUUCUUAAUGGUGACAUUUACCAUCAUUGUCCGUCUUCCUUUUAAAAUCCAUCUGUACUCAACAGCCUCACGACCAUCGAGCUGUUCUAUCAAAGUCUACACUUUGUUUCCAUACAUGGAUCCUCUCUCGGAUUUUAUGACCUCGAGCCAUUUAUCGGAAUCCGGGCCCACCAUCGCUUCUCCAUAGCUCGUAGGUUCAUUGUUGUCUAGCAACAUGACUUUCAAGACAGGAUUACGUACCACUCUGAAGUAGUACGCAUCAUUGUCAUCCCACGAGGUUUGGUAGUGACUUGAUCUGAAGUUUCAUGAUCACUAUCAUAAGCUUCCACUUCAAUUGGUGUAGGUGCCACAGGAACAACUUCCUGUGCCCUGCCACACACUAGUUGAAGAGACGGUUCAACAACCUUAUCAAGUCUCCACCAUCCUCCCACUCAAUUCUUUCGAGAGAAACUUUUCCUCGAGAAAGGACCUAAUUCUAGAAACAAUCCCUUAUUGCUUUCGGAUCUGAGACAGGAGGUAUACCCAACUGUUUUGGGUGUCCUAUGAAGAUGCAUUUAUCCGCUUUGGGUUCGAGCUUAUCAGCCUGAAACUUUUUUCAUAUAAGCGUCGCAGCCCCAAACUUUUAAGAAAUGACAGCUUAGGUUUCUGUAAACCAUAGUUCAUACGGUGUCAUCUCAUCGGAAUUACGUGGUGCCCUAUUUAAAGUGAAUGCGGUUGUCUCUAAUGCCUAACCCAUAAACUAUCGUGGUAAUUCGAUAAGAGACAUCAUGGUAUGCAUCAUAUCCAAUAAGGUGCAGUUAUGAUGUUCGGACACACCAUCACACUAUGGUGUUCCAGGCUGUAUUAGUUGUGAAACAAUUUCCACAAUGUCUUAAUUCUGUGCCAAACUCGUAAUUCAGAUAUUCAUCUCUAUGAUCAUAUCAUAGAUAUUUUAUCCUCUUGUCACGACGAUCUUUCAACUUCACCCUGAAAUUACUUGAACCUUUCAAUAAUUCAGACUCGUGAUUCAUCAAGUAAAUAUACUCAACAUCUACUCAAAUCAUCUAUGAAGUAAGAACAUAACGAUAUCCACUGCAUGCCUCAGCACUCAUUGGAUUGCACACAUCAAAAUGUAUUACUUCCAACAAGUUGCUUUCUAGUUCCAUUUUACUGAAAACGAGGCUUUCAGUCAUCUUGCCCAUGUGGUAUGAUUUGCAUGUCUCAAGUGAUUCAAAAUCAAGUGAGUCCAAACGGUCCAUUUGCAUGGAGUUUCUUCAUGCAUAUACACCAAUAGACAUGGUUCACAUGUCUCAAACUUUUCAAAAACGAGUGAGCCAAAAGAUCCAUCAACAUGGAGCUUCUUCAUGCGUUUUAUACCGAUAUGACUUACGUGGCAGUGCCACAAGUAGGUGGUACUAUCAUUACUAUCUUUUGGCAUGAACAUGUGUAUCGCUACGAUCGAGAUUCAAUAAACCAUUCAUUUUAGGUGUAAGACCAUUGAAGGUAUUAUUCAAAUAAACAGAGUAACCAUUAUUCUCUUUAAAUGAAUAACCGUAUUGCGAUAGACAUAAUCCCAUCAUGUCUAUGCUCAACGCAAACACCAAUCUCGAUGGUAGAGGGAGCGUACGAUAUUUGAUCAACCUUGGAAAUACUUCCAACACAUAUCGUCAUCUCACCUUUAGCUAGUCUCCGUUUAUUCCGUAGCUUUUAUUUUGAGUUACUAACACUUAGCAACCGAACCGGUAUCUAAUACCCUGGUGCUACUAGGAGUACUAGUAAAGUACACAUCAACACAAUGUAUAUCCAAUAUACUUCUAUCGACCUUGCCAGCCUUCUCAUCUACCAAGUAUCUAGGGUAAUUCUGCUCCAGUGGUUGUUCCCCUUAUUACAGAAGCACUUAGUCUCGGGUUUGGGUUCAACCUUGGGUUUCUUCACUAGAGCAGCAGCUGAUUUGCCGUUUCAUGAAGCAUCCCUUUUUGCCCUUGCCCUUCUUGAAAACUAGUGGUUUCACCAACCAUCAACAAUUGAUGCUCCUUCUUGAUCUCUACUUUUGUGGUGUCAAACAUCGCGAAUAUCUCAAGGAUCAUCAUAUAUGUCCCUGAUAUAUUAUAGUUCAUCACGAAGCUCAAGCAGCUUGGUGGUAAUGACUUCGGAGAACCAUCACUAUUUCAUCUGGAAGAUCAACUCCCACUCGAUUCAAGCGAUUGUUGUACUCAGACAAUCUGAGCACAAGUUCAACAAUUGAGCUUUUCUCCCUUAGUUUGCAGGCUAAGAAAAUCGUCGGAGGUCUUAUACCUCUUGACGUGGGCACGAGCCUGAAAUCCCAAUUUCAGCCCUUGAAACAUCUCAUAUGUUUCGUAACGUUUCAAAACGUCUUCGGUGCCUUAACUCUAAACCGUUUAACUGAACUAUCACGUAGUUAUAAGAAUGUGUAUGUCAGAUGUUCGCAACAUCCACAGACGACGUUCGAGGUUCAGCACACUGAGCGGUGCAUUAAGGACAUAAGCCUUCUAUGAAGCAAUGAGGACAAUCCUCAGUUUACGGACCUAGUCCGCAUAAUUGAUACUAUCAACCUUCAACUAAAUUUUCUCUAGGAACAUAUCUAAACAGUAGAACUAAAGCGCGAGCUUCGACAUAAUUUGCGAAGACCUUUUGACUAUGUUCAGGAUAAUUAAGUUCAUCUUAUGAACUCCCACUCAGAUAGACAUCCCUCUAGUCAUCUAAGUGAUUACAUGAUCCGAGUCAACUAGGCCGUGUCCGAUCAUCACGUGAGACGGACUAGUCAUCAUCGGUGAACAUCUUCAUGUUGAUCGUAUCUACCAUACGACUCAUGCUCGACCUUUCGGUCUCUUGUGUUCCGAGGCCAUGUCUGUACAUGCUACGCUCGUCAAGUCAACCUAAGUGUUUCGCGUGUGUAAAUCUGUCUUACACCCGUUGUAUUCGAACGUAAGAAUCUAUCACACCCGAUCAUCACGUGGUGCUUCGAAAUGACGAACUUUCGCAAUGGUGCACAGUUAGGGGGAACACUUUCUUGAAAUUAUUAUGAGGGAUCAUCUUAUUUACUACCGUUGUUCUAAGUAAACAAGAUGCAUAAACAUGAUAAACAUCACAUGCAAUCAAAUAGUGACAUGAUAUGGCCAUCAUCACUUUGCUCCUCUUGAUCUCCAUCUUUGGGGCUCCAUGAUCAUCAUCGUCACCGGCAUGACACCAUGAUCUCCAUCAUCAUGAUCUCUAUCAUCGUGUCUUCAUGAAGUUGUCUCGUCAACUAUUACUUCUACUACUACAGCUAACGGUUAGCAAUAAAGUAAAGUAAUUACAUGACGUUUAUGUUGACACGCAGGUCAUAAAUAAAUUAAGACAACUCCUAUGGCUCCUGCCGGUUGUCAUACUCAUCGACAUGCAAGUCGUGAUUCCUAUUACAAGAACAUGAUCAAUCUCAUACAUCACAUAUAUCAUUCAUCACAUCCUUUUGGCCAUAUCACAUCACAUAGCAUACCCUGCAAAAACAAGUUAGACGUCCUUUAAUUGUUGUUUGCAUGUUUUACGUGGCUGCUAUGGGUUUCUAGCAAGAACGUUUCUUACCUACGCAAAAACCACAACGUGAUAUGCCAAUUGCUAUUUACCCUUCAUAAGGACCCUUUUCAUCGAAUCCGAUCCGACUAAAGUGGGAGAGACAGACACCCGCUAGCCACCUUAUGCAACUAGUGCAUGUCAGUCGGUGGAACCAGUCUCACGUAAGAGUACGUGUAAGGUCGGUCCGGGCCGCUUCAUCCCACAAUGCCACCGAAUCAAGAUUGGACUAGUAACGGUAAGCAUAUUGAACAAAAUCAACGCCCACAACUACUUUGUGUUCUACUCGUGCAUAGAAACUACGCAUAAACCUAGCUCAUGAUGCCACUGCUGGGGAACGUAGCAUAAAUUCAAAAUUUUCCUACGUGUCACCAAGAUCUAUCUAGGGAGUCAUCUAGCAACGAGGGAGGAGUGGACCUACAUACCCUUGUAGAUCGCGCGCGGAAGCGUUCAAGAGAACGGGGUUGAUGGAGUCGUACUCGUCGUGAUCCAAAUCACCGAUGAUCCUAGCGCCGAACGGACGGCACCUCCGCGUUCAACACACGUACGAAGCAGCAACGUCUCCUCCUUCUUGAUCCAGCAAGGGGAAAGGAGAGGUUGAUGGAGAUCCAGCAGCACGACGGCGUGGUGGUGGAAGUAGCGGGAUUCCAACAGGGCUUCGCCAAGCGCUGCGGGAGGAGGGAGACGUGUCAUGGGAGGGAGAGGGAGGCGCCAGGGCUUAGGUAUGGUUGCCCUCCCUUCCCCCCACUAUGUAUAGGGCCAAGGGAGAGGGGGGGCGCAGCCUUGGCCCUUCCUCCAAGGAAGGGUGCGGCCAGGGAGGAGUCCCACCUCCCCAAGGCACCUAGGAGGUGCCUUCCCCCUUUAGGACUCUUCCUUUCCCUCAUCUCUUGGCGCAUGGGCCUCUUGGGGCUGGUGCCCUUGGCCCAUAUAGGCCAAGGCGCACCCCCUACAGCCCAUGUGCCCCCUCGGGGUAGGUGGCCCCACCCGGUGGACCCCCGGGACCCUUCCGAUGGUCCCGGUACAAUACCGGUGACCCCGAAACUUGUCCCGAUGGCCGAAAUAGCACUUCCUAUAUAUAAUUCUUUACCUCCGGACCAUUCUGGAACUCCUCGUGACGUCCGGGAUCUCAUCCGGGACUCCGAACAACUUUCGGGUUACCGCAUACUAAUAUCUCUAUAACCCUAGCGUCACCGAACCUUAAGUGUGUAGACCCUACGGGUUCGGGAGACAUGCAGACAUGACCGAGAUGACUCUCCGGUCAAUAACCGACAACGGAAUCUGGAUACCCAUGUUGUCUCCCACAUGUUCCACGAUGAUCUCAUCGGAUAAACCACGAUGUCAAGGACUUAAUCAAUCCCGUAUACAAUUCCCUUUGUCUAGCGGUACGAUACUUGCCCGAGAUUCGAUCGUCGGUAUCCCGAUACCUUGUUCAAUCUCGUUACCGGCAAGUCUCUUUACUCGUUCCGUAACACAUCAUCCCGUGAUCAACUCCUUGAUCACAUUGUGCACAUUAUGAUGAUGUCCUACCGAGUGGGCCCAGAGAUACCUCUCCGUCACACAGAGUGACAAAUCCCAGUCUCGGUUCGUGCCAACCCAACAGACACUUUCGGAGAUACCUGUAGUGUACCUUUAUAGCCACCCAGUUACGUUGUGACGUUUGGCACACCCAAAGUAUUCCUAUGGUAUCCGGGAGUUGCACAAUCUCAUGGUCUAAGGAAAUGAUACUUGACAUUAGAAAAGCUUUAGCAUGCGAACUACACGAUCUCUGUGCUAGGCUUAGGAUUGGGUCUUGUCCAUCACAUCAUUCUCCUAAUGAUGUGAUCCCAUUAUCAACGACAUCCAAUGUCCAUGGUCAGGAAACCGUAACCAUCUAUUGAUCAACGAGCUAGUCAACUAGAGGCUUACUAGGGACAUGGUGUUGUCUGUGUAUCCACACAUGUAUCUGAGUUUCCUAUCAAUACAAUUCUAGCAUGGAUAAUAAACGAUUAUCAUGAACAAGGAAAUAUAAUAAUAACUAAUUUAUUAUUGCCUCUAGGGCAUAUUUCCAACAAGAUGUAUGUAGUCGAUGAACUGAAAGACUUAUGCAGGGAAGGUGAGAGGUAGGCUAUAUAUAGGGUCGUCUGGCUCACAAAGUGAUUGUGGUAGUUUCGAUCCAACGACUCACAUGAGCUAGGAAGAAACACACCUUUGAUCCAACGACUCGCAAGAACUAGAAAGAAACACACGAUCCGUGUGAUUCUUCCUGAUUGGUGGGAUGCACAUUAGUACCCACUCCGGACUCCGAAACCCUGAUACUCGGAAAGAGUUUGUCCAAUUUGUACACGAAGUGCGUCCAGUUUUUGCCGUGACCCUCUCUACUCUUUCGCGUAUGCUAUGCGGGUGAUAUGAUGAUACCAUGCCAAGUUUCAACAUUUUCAGGAUUCAUUUUGUAGUGAUUUUCAAAUUCACGGUCAUUUAGCUCUCUAAACAAUUAGGUAAAUGACCGAAAAACAACAAAUGAUGUCAGAACAUGUUGGAAAUUGAUGACGUCGCUUUAAAUGCUGCAUACUGAACACAAAAGAAGUCCGGAGUUUAAAUAAGUUAUUAAAAAUAAAAAAGAGGUGCAAUGCUGGUUAAUUUGCUUCAAGCCAUUCGGAAUAGUAUAGAUUGCACUAAGCCACUGCACAUAGCUCAGUGCAAUCUAUGCUAUUCCGCAAGGCUUGAAGCUAAUCAACAUGUAGGUGAGCAUUGCAACUCUUCAUCAUUGUAUGUGCACUCACGGCUUAUAAACCGCUCAUACUGCCUCUCUCUUGGCGAGGUGGGACUAAAAACAGCUUGCCAUAACCUCAUUAGUACCGGUUCGUGGUACGAACCGGCACUAAAUGGUGAUGGUGGGGCCAUAGCCUGACCGCAGGCUGACACAGCCUCUUUAGUACCGGUUUGUGGCAUGAACCGGUACUAAAGGUUCGCCACAAACCGGUACUAUUGAUCGCCGCCACGAACCGGCACUAAUGUACACAUUAGUGCAAGCACUAAUGUGCUUCACGUUUGACCAUUUUUCUACUAGUGUUUGCAAAUCCAUCUUUCUCGACAUCCACACGUACCACUCCACCCAACCAAUUCCCAAGCGCCUCACCGAACUCCUUCGAACGCUUAUUCAAAGGUAGAUCAGCAACCCUAGCCCAAACCUCCACCGUAUCAAACACCAUCUCAGAUGGUCUAGUAACACCAUCAUAAUCCUUGAGCACCACAAUAUUAAAGUCAAACUACCAGGGUCCGUUAUUUAACACGUGUUUCCAGUCACCUUCGCUUCCAAACUUCACCAUGAACAUGUUCCUUCCAAUUAUCUUGAACUUUGCUUCUUUGUGGAGGCCCCAUGCCCUUGGCAUCGCCAUCUCGAGAGCACGCUGAUUCAUGAGCCUUGGGGUAAACGCUUUCCCUAUGGCCGACCACUUCGCCGGCCUAGCUUGUUCUCGUUCAGGCUCCUUGAAGACAAACCCUGCAGCCUCCUUCUCCGUCAGCACAAGUCCCCCCAAGCGCGCAGUUAGUCCCGCCGCCUCCUCGGAGACUUUGCCAUCUACGGGCGACUGCGAUGGGUUUCUGCUUUGUGCGCCCAGUGGCGUCUUCUGCACUGAGCCCAUGGCCGCCGUACGCACGCCUGAUCGCGGCGUUGUCGCCCCCGUGGGGGCUGCCGUCGUGCCCGUUGCCGCUCAUGGCGUAGUCGUCGCCUUGGGAGCGCUCGCUGCGUUCUGCGGCGCCGCCGCCCCGUUCCUCAUCCUGUCCGCCAUGGCACGUCCACAGCAGAGUCAGAUCCACGCCGAUCCGCGCGUUCAGGGACGCCGUCGCCCCUUCACGCACCACCGGUAGCCUCACCACCACCGCGGAAAACCCUAACCCUAACUCUCGACGGCGAUCCCCUCGCAAUCGCCUCGAUCGCCUCUCCGUGUUUUCCUCACGAGGUGGACCCACGUUCUCAACACCCCAAGCUUUGCUUGCAGUAGCUAAAACAUGUUGCAAGAAUUACAACUGGGUCAGGCGGUGUACCCAUCCACAAAACUCAAAUAAUAAACAUCUAAAAAGAGCUCUCCCGUCUUGCGAGAUCUACCUCGCUCCUAGUCUGGAACUCUGUGGGAAACGUGACGUUUUUGCAAAAAAAACCUCGAAGAAACUCCGACCGAACCCGCAGUCCAUCAUCCCCUUCGACAGCUCCGCUCGUGCAGCUCCACCGCUCCCCCGCGACACCGGCGACGCCGCGCCGCCGCGACCCCCAGUUCCACCGCGCAGCUCCGCCGCGACCCGCAGCUCCACCGCUCCCUCCAUCCCUGCCCGUCGAUUUGUUCCCUAAAAUACUCACAUUUCCCUAUCCCUGCCCGCGACGAGGCCGAAUGUGUACCACUCCAGCAUCCCCGGCGCGGCGUCCAGCCAGAGGAAGAGGCAGUCGUGGGCGGCGCGGAAGACGCCGUCGGCCUCCACCAGCGCCUCGAUGUAGAUGUUGGAUCCGCCGGCAAAAUUUCAAAUUGGGAAGAGCAAAAUCUCACCUUUCCUUUUCCGGCGGAUAUGAAGGCGGCUCUCUCCUCUUCAUAGGGUACGUGCAGAGCACACACCCCUACAGGCUCUCUCCUAUGAAAUCUUGUCUAGCUAAAUUUAAUGGUCUCGCUGCUCCCUGCUCAAUUUUGGUGCCUGUGGUGUCUGGAGUCUGAAUUGGAAAUCAGAACCAGUUCCAUAAUUUUCAGUUUGUAAAAUUUCACUGAACUUUACUGUAUGAGACAGCCUCUAUAAUUUUCAGCUCCAUAAUUUUCAGUUUGUAGAGCUGGAGGUCAGAUUCAGCUCCAUAAUUUAAUUGAAUUUUAUUGAGAGAAGUCAUAUACUCCCUCUCUCAGUUCUUCUGUUGCAUGGCCAUUCCUUAAAGAAACAUGACACAGCAAAAUUCAUAGGAACAUCCUCAAGCCCUUGUUCUUAUUCUUAUUCUGUAAUCUAAAUUACUCGUCGAGACCAUCGAGCAAGAGAGCAAGAGAGUUAGUCUGUAUUGCUGUUUUCAUUUGUUGAAUAGAGCUUAAACUCUGCACUUUCAUGGACUAAAGUUCAUUUUGGUUGAUGCUCUCUGCGUUGCUGUAUUCAGUAGGGCCACCGGCAAGCUGCUGCUAUUUCUCUUGAUCUACUGCUGUUAUUUCAACUGAUAUGUUGUCCCUCUUGUCUCCAGAAUUGCUUGCUGUUGCUAUUGAUGUGUUGCUGCUGCUUCUUCAAUUCGUGGCGCUGCUGCUUCAAUUGCCAACUCUUCUUGCCGUACUGCUGCUGCUUCAAAUCAACAGAGGAGGCGAUGACAACAUUUAGUCCUGAUUUUCUGCCAGGAACAAGUGAGCCAUUUAUUUUUGACUAAUACAGUAUCCACUUUAUUUCUUCAGAAGCUAGCUCAUUCUCAAAAAUAAAGGAACAUAGGCAAAGCAAUAGACAGUAGCUAGCAUAUGAUUUGGUUACAGUAAGGAUCUUCUGAACAUUUGGUUAACUCUGUCUAUAUCUCUGAACAUAUGAGCACUGUUCAUUUUUAGUACCCCUGAACAUAUAAGCAACAGUAUCUAGCAUGGAGUAUGUCCAGAUAGCAUGCCUUGCUUUAGUUGAAGAAAACCAAUAUGCCUUGCCUUUUAAACCAAUAAACAAUGAAAACGUUGAAAUAAAGCAAGCAGUAGAGAUAUCAUUAAAGUUCAAAAAUUAAGUGAGUAGGCAAGUGGUGACAGGGAAGGAGAAAAUUUAGUUUCAGUUUUGGGAUGGUACAGUACUCCAUCAAAAAGACAUACACAUGAUAGAGAUUGUGUUCCUAAAUCAACAUCAAGUUUAGGAACAAGUGUGUUCCUAAAUAAUCUUUAGUUUAGGAACAAUCUUCAGUUUAGUAUUGUCAAGUCUGAAAUUUUGACAGUAAUGCUGUGACAUGUUCAGACUAGGAUAAUCUUUAGUUUAGGAACAACUUUGAUGAUUCUCUGGAUUGAUCAUAGUGUAUUUGGAUUGAUGAUCAAAGUUCAAAGAAUUAGCCUAAAUGCACAUUGAUGCUCAUUCAUCUUCUUUCUCAAAGUUCAAAGAAUUAUCAACAUUUAGCCUGAAUGCACAUUGAUGAUUCCAGAAAAUAAGUUUAUAACCACUCUAGAUUUACAAGUGUUUACUGAAGAAUAUUCUGUUUAUGAAGUAGACCAACAAUAUUCAUCUUUUUUCUGUUUAUGAAGAAGAAGAAGAAGAAGAAGAAGAAUAAACCUAGCUAAUUCAAAUAAUUCCAAUUUUAGGGACAUGUUUUUAAUUCAAUUGGACAAGCAUGGAAUACUUUGAAUUUUGACCCUGACAAUGAAUUUCGAUUGUAAUCCAAUUAAACUCUCUGUAUCAAUUAAACUCUUUGUAUAACCUGUUAAUUUUGAUUGCAAUCAAGCUUUCGCAGGAACAAAUGAACAAUUUACUCUAAUGUGAUCAAGAUUUCGCAGGAACAGAGGCGGAGUACCAGAGGCGUCACGCGUCGGGGUCGGGGGCGGGUAAAAAGAGAAGGCUCAUUCUAGUUUCUACAACAGGUUGUGCUAGUGAAUUCAAACUAUGCUUUGUUUGAUUCAGAUUAUGCUAGUGAAUUCAGUUACUUCACCUCACCUUCACUUCACCAAAUUUCUGACACAGGACACUGAAUGGAGUAUGAUUGACAGACACAAAACACUGUAAAUUUCAGAUAACAUCAGCAGUAGAUCAGCAUUGCAAUUUAGAACAAUUGACGCUGAUGGAGUACUUCUUUGACAAACUAAAAUUGAUACUGCAAUUGGCACUGUACCUGCAGCCAACAGCAGCAGCAGAGGCAAUCAGCAGUCGAGGUGCUCGAGGGCAGAGGCAAUCAGCAGUCGAGGGCAGAAGCAUCGGCUGUGGCAUCAGCAGGUUUGCGUGGUCCUCUCUCCGCCGGGGAAGAUCCGCCUUGCCCUGCCUGCCGAAUUCUUCAAGAGGGGAGCGGCGGCUGGGGUUGCCGCAGGGGUGAGGAACCGGCGAGCAGGGCCACGAGGAGGAGGCGCCCGUCGAGGUGGUCGCCUUGGAGGAGCAGCCUCAGCUGGGCGGCGGGGCAGCUCGCCUCCGUGCGGACGGCCCACGUUUGCAGCGGCGGGGCAGCUCGCCUCCGUGCAGACGGCCCACGUUCGUAGCGGCUGAGAAACCGCAGGUGGGCUACGGCGCAGGUGGGCGUCGGCGGAGGUGGUCGCCCGCUCUUUCUACGGCGGCUGCCGGCGGUGGCUACGACGGCCGCUUGGUCAAAGGAGGAAGAAGCAGAGGUGAGGGGGGGAUUAGCACUAGAUUUAAAAUCAGAAGGUUUUUUUUGUAAAAUUUGAAAUGAACUAAGCUCUGGACAACUUUUCCCGGACGGAGGGAGUAUAAACAAAUGAAAAUAAAUAAAUUCAGGAACUCCUGUGGCUGUAGGAAUGGAUGUCCUCACCCGCCUCCACCGGCCGCUCGGCGAAGAGUGGCAGGAAGACGACAUCCCCAAGCCCUCUGCUCUCUGUCCCCUCUCCAGGUCAAACACACCCCUCCGAGAACCCUCGACCGCUGCAGCCGUUUAAAUGGUCCGCGUCGAUCUGACAUGUUCUGCUUUUUUUGCCUGAUUCAGCGGGUCUACGGCUUCUUGGUUGCUGGACUCGCCCCCAUGAUGCUGGCGCGUUGCUGUAACUUCCGCCCAUGAUCUGUCGCCCGUGCAGUAUUUUGCUGUAGUUGACUGCAGGUGAAGAAUGGGCCAUGUUGGCCGUGCUGACCCUAUUUUCAGCAGUUGGAUCCUAUAUACCUAACCGAGGGAUCAAGAACCAUCGUUGUGAGUUAUGCUUUGUGUUACUUCAGCAAUGGCUGAUGCCAUUCCUUCCAAGUAUCAAAUAUGUGUUAUUCAGACAUUUAGGCUUACCAAAUCUAAGUCUAAAGAAACGAGUCGCGGGCGUAAAUGCCUAUUUCUUCAGCAUUAAGAACUUUAGGUUAGUCAACACAGUGAUUUCUAUGUUGGGUUUGCUCUUCACGCUAGGCUUGAACGUCACAUUUAACCUAUCUGUGCUAGUGAACUGAUGCGUUGUCUUCUCUUAGUCGGAGUUGAUGUUUCAAAUGCCAUGCUUAUGCGAUAUUUGUUCUGAACAUUAUUAAUCUUCUACAUUCGCAUUAGCCAUAGUCAAACUUUCAAGUGUGAAUCAUAUGAUCCUGUCAAAUGCCAGUUUGAUAUAUAUGUUCUGCUCUUGCAUUGGCUCCACUAGCUUUGUUUCUUGAAUAUUUGCAUUUUGCAUUAUGCUGAUUUGAACCUUUGCUGGGCAGCACAGCCUUCAUAAUGGGGCCAAAUAAACAACUGAGGAUGAUGCUUGAUCCAGUUCUUGUUUAUAUUAAACAGCUAUUUAUGUUGGAUGUGUUGCUUUUGCUCUUUUGGUUAGUAACAUCUCAACCCUUUGUUAAUUUUAUGCCCUUAUUUCUGCAAGUAAAUAGCCUAGUUUUGGCGCCUGAUGGUCAUUGUCGGCAUGCUUCGGCGCCUGAAACCGGAUAUCUGGUUCCACCCAUGUCCCUUCUUGUCGAUGAAUGAAGAACGGUUUAUUAGUGCAGCUCGCAGCUCCCCUCUGCAAUCCUUCAUUCCAUUUGAUUCCGUGUAAAUUUGUUGCUUCACUCGAUAGAUAGGGCAGCAUUCUUGGGACAUAAAGUGGGACUGUAAUAAGCAAUAGGUCUACUAUUUUGCAUGAUCACAACACCUACACCAUCACCAGAUGGAUCAGUUUCCAGUGUGAAAGGAAGUGUAAAGUCUGGUAAUGCUAGGACUGGAGCUGUAAUAAGGGCUUGUUUGAGAGCUUUUAAAAGCAAUCUCCUGUGGUUGUGUCCAAACAAAACUGUCCUUCUUUAGGGCAUCAUGGAGAGGCCUUGCAAUCAGACCAAAAUCCUUGACAAAUCUCCUAUAGUAGCCACACAGGCCUAGGAAACCCCUAAGUUGGGUCACAGUUGUUGGAGUGGGCCAUUCAGCAACAGCGGGGACCUUAUUUGGGUCUGUAGAUACUCCCUCCCCAGAAAUUAUGUGACCCAAAUAUUCCACCUGUGAAACAGCAAAUUGGCACUUAGAAAGUUUAACACACAGCUGCUCUUUCUGCAAGACAGACAAUACUUCUUCCAAGUGUUGCAAGUGUUCUUCUAGAGUUUCACUAAACACUAGAAUGUCAACAAAGAAAACCAGAGUGUGCUUCCUUAGAAAAGGUGAAAAAACACCGUUCAUUAGAGCUUGAAAUGUCCCUGGUGCAUUGGCCAAUCCAAAAGGCAUAACUAAGUACUCAAAAUGCCCAAAGUGAGUGAUAAAAGCUGUUUUGUGAAUGUCUUUUUCACCCAUUCGGAUUUGAUGAUAACCAUAUCUCAAAUUCAAUUUUGUACUCUUUUUUUUUGCUCCAGACAGCUCAUCAAUCAGAUCCUCAAUCACAGGUAUAGGAUAUUUGUUUUUGAUAGUCACAACAAUGAGUUUCCUAAAAUCCUGGCGUAACCUCCAACUUUUGUCCUUUUUGCUGACCAGAAUAGAUGGUGCAGCAUAUGGGCUUUGGCUCUCUCUUAUCAUACCAGCCUUGUGCAAGCACUGGACUUGAUGUUCCAUCUCAUUCCUGUGAUGAUGUGGUAAUCUGUAAGGCCUAGAGUAAGGUGGCGUAGCUCCUGGCUUGAGAGGGAUUUCAUGGUCAAAAGUUCUAGGAGGUGGUAGUCCCUUAGGUUCAGAGAAAACUUCAGGGAACUUUUGCAAUAGCUCAGCAACUGGUACAGGAAUUUCAUUCUUGGUCAGACCAGUAUAGGAACUAGAAGUAUUUAAGAGAUAAAUAGCAAAUUCAGGUGCUCCUUUAUUGAGCAUUUUCUCCAUUUCUGUUUCAGAUAUUUCUGUGGCCUCUGUAAUUGAUUCAGAAACUGGUAUGCUGACAGGAUAUUGACCAUCUUUCAUAAUAGUAACAGUUCUAUUAAUGUGAUCAAGUGUUGUAGGGCUGUGUUUUGCUAACCAGUCACGUCCCAGAAGUAUAUCAUGCCCAGGCAAAUCCAGAAUUCUGAAAGUAUGCUGGAACUUUUCUUUUUGCCACUGGGAAUGGGGUGUCAGGAAUAUAAGCUCCAGACCAUAGCUUGCCUCCCCCAGCUACUGCUACAGGCCUUGAUUUGUCCUUGAUGAUAGUACAGGAUGUUUUUAGAGCAAAGGACAAAUUCAUGAAUGUAGAAUUACUACCAUAAUCUACUAGUGCCAUGGCCUGUUUGCCCUCAGUUGAGACUAAAACUGACAUGGCAUUAACACUGUCAACCUCCAUUGCUUUGAGAGAAAUUUGCAUACAUUUAUCAGAGGAAUUCUGGCCGUUUUCCUGCUCUUCUUCAGAUCCAGAUUCUUGUUCUUCAGUCACUUCAGUAGGUUCUUCUCCUGUUAACAAGUUAAUAGCAGGAGCUUGCUUACAUUUGUGCCCAUGAAACCAUGCGUCACCACAUCUCCAACACUUAGCAGGUUCUCUAGUUUUCUGAGUGAUAUUUGUGAUUUUUGGCUGUGGCAAUUUUGUGUCAAACCCUACUGUUUUGAAGGCAUUAUAAGGAUGUUUCUGAUAUCCUCCUCCUCCUCCUACUUGGAAUGUGGAUUUUUUUGGGAGGCAAUGAUUGAUUGCUCCAUUAUCAGUAAGCUUCAGUUAGAGUUGGAGGUCUGAGUGGUCUCAACUGGAAAUUUGAUGUGUGCUUUCAUACCAUUGACAUAGCAUUUGAUGAACCAUUGUUCAGAAAGAGAGAGAUGGAUUUUUCCUCUUGCAUUUCAGCCGUCAGAGAUUCAAACUGCUCCGUGUGUUCAGCAAUGGACAGAUUUCCCUGUUUGAAAGAAUUGAAGCUGACAGUUAAAUCAUAGGAACUUGUUGGUGAAAACAUUUUGAGAAGUUGUUCACAAAACUGUGGCCAUGUAAGAUGUUUCUCAAGCAGCCCCCCACAAAACUGUGGACAUCCGUACUUGCAUUCCAAAUUUUGUUGAUGUAUUAACCCUGCCCGUUUCAUUCCCCUCUCGCAGAAGAGAAGCAAAAUAGAGAUACACCUCCUCCCGCACGCAGCAGCAGACGGCGCCCGCGGCCACCCCGACUGCACCUCUACCUCUCUCUCUCUCUCUCUCUCUCUCUCUCUCUCUCUGGUGUAUGCGAUCGGCUUUGAAAUUCCCUCGCCUGCGUGCUGGCGGAGCUCGCCGCGCGGAAUGCUAGAGAGGUGCGAUCUGGAGAUCAAUGCACAGGGCAGCGAUCGAUGGCGCGCAACGUCUAGGCGAUUGGCGGCAUGCGACGCCCAGACAAAUCGAUUGCUCUGCUGCUGCUUGGGAUUGCAGCAGAGAGUUCAGGAAACCACCACUAGUGCUAUCAUCCAGCCAGCAUCAGAGUUAAUACCAUUGUUGGUGCAGGUAUGAUCCUGACAUCUGGACGGAGGUGGCCAAGCACCUACAAGCCCCUGAGCUGCUGAGCCUCUCCGCCACCUGCCUCUGGUUCCACCGCCUCCUCUCCGACGACUCCAUCUUCCUCCGCGACCUCUCGCUCUGCACCGACGAUCCCAACAUGAUCAGGCUCCUCCACGUUGCCCGCCCGUUCCACCGCUCCUGGCGCCUCCUCUACGACAGUGCCUUGGGUAAGCACCAGGUCUUCAGUGUCUCCUCCCAUUGAUACCAGCCGCACGCACUGACAUGCGUGCUCUCUUUCCUCUGUUGUUUCUUUCAGACCCCACAAUCUCAUACUGCUUCCGUCAGCCCGAGAAGCACAUUGGUGAGCACAGCGCAGGCGACAUCCCAGCUCCUCAAAUCCUUCCUUCCUUCCUUCAUUCCUGUUUACUGUCAUGUGUUUACCUGAAGCUUGGUGUGGUGCAGAAUCGUUUCGCCUUGGUGGAUUCUUGAUGGACGCUUCGAAGCUGGUUGAUGCCGAUGCUGGAUGACAAUAGUCCAGAGACCUCCAUCGGAGCCUGCUUGCUCACCAACGUCCGCCCCGGCAUCUGGAUUGCUGGUACGUGCGUGCACACACCAUGUCCCUUCUUCUUGGCCAUUCCUUGCUCACUUGCUGGUCCUGUUAAAAUGUCUGGUAUUCUUCAAUCACUGUUCUUUGGUCCUCUUGAAUGUUGCAGACAUGCACAUGGUGCAAUGCCCCGACGAUGACGACCACGGAUGCCAAGGUGAUGAUGCUAGGCUGGAGGUUGUUCUUGGUCCUGGCCAUUGUGGUGCUUGCUUCUAAGUUUGGUUUGGACCGGAACAACCUGUGAUACAUACAGGGACCGUGCAGGUUCUGGAUGCGCGGCACUGCGAGCUGUACCUGGAGAACAAGUUCAGGGAUGGGACCUGGGAGUACGAGGACCUUGGCAGUCACUUGAGCAACGGGCAGCUAGAUACCGCCGCCGCUGCCAUCUUCAACCGCCACUACUUCAAUACUCCACGCGUCAAAAGUUUGUUCCUCAACCAUGCAUCCAUUCAAGCACUCAAUUACCCCUAACUGAUUGCCUGGAUGGAUAUGAGGAUGGCACUCAUGUUGACUGGCUGCGGCGUUGUGUGUGCAGAUAUUCUCGAUGCCCAGUCCUGGAUCCGGGGUCGCUCCAACCUGCUGCCCAGGGCGUACCUCACCCCAGUUGGCGUCGCCCUCAGCACCAACCUGAUGCCCAAUCGAGGUAUGUCUAGUUCUGGCAAGAUAAUGACCUGAAGCAAAAGCAUUUAUCUGGCUGGAGUCUAGCUGACAUGAGUCUUUUGCUGUGGCGCGCGCACGCGCGUGUGUCUCUGUCAUGACAGAGUUGUUGUCGAGGUUCGAGGCAAUGCGAGAUACCACGAGGGACGGGCAGAUCGUGUCUGUCAGGAUCACGCAACACCUCCUCCUGUGAUUCGUGGGUGCUCGAUUCAGUUCUGUCGAGGUUCAGUAGUAUGUUUGUUGUACUUCAUCCAAGAGCUGCACAAUCUUUUGGGGCAUGUGCUGGGUUUGCUCUCUUGCUUUCUGGCUUGCUGCGUGUGCGUCUGUGUCUGUAUCCGCGCUAGAGUUCUUCACACAAGUUAUCUGAUGGCUUAACCAACUGCAGAGGACUGGGUAACACAGCACUACUAGCCCAUUACUAGAUCAUGGUUGUUGACACAACUCGAACAAAAUCUAUAUAAAAAUUAAAUACUCUUCUGCUUAUGUAUUUUGCCCGCCCAUUUGUGUUUUUUAGUGCGAAUGUAUGCACUCCCUCUGUUUCUAAAUAUAAGCCAUUUUGGAUAUUUCAAUAUGAAAUACGUGCGGAUGUAUAUUUUAGAGUGUUUUUUGUUUUUGUUUUUUUGUCCAUGGGGAUACAACUUAGACUGUAGAUUUCACUCAUUUUGCUCCGCAUGUAGUUUAUAGUGAAAUCUCUAAAAGGCCUUAUUACAUUUAGGAACGAAGAGAGUAGCAUGAAAAAGCGGCCCAAAGACGUGAUUCCUUGUGUGAUCGAUUCUGUUCUGCAUAAAACUAGUAUCUCUCGACGACACAACAUUCAUCUACCUGUUUACAUCCAUCUACCAAACAAGAGGAAAAACAUGCCUUGCAAACACAGCUGUCACUUAUUUGCAUGCAUACAAACAUUCAGGGCAUCUUUGAUUCGCAGGAUUUGUAAAAUAUGAGAAUAGAGAAAAACACAGAAAUGGAGUUGCAUGACAUCUUCAAUACGUAGGAUUCUUCACAUGAGGUUGAGGUGGAUGGAAAUUUCCCUUCAAAAACCAGCACUCCCUCCUUCCAUCUAUAUAGGGCCUAAUGCGUUUGUCAAGACCGCCUUUGACUAUUGAUAAAAUUAAUACUACAUGACAUGCAUAAUGUGAAAAUUAUAUCAUUGAAAGCUCCUUUCACAUACGAAUAUAUGCAGUGCUAUUUUUGCCACUAUUAAAGAAUGUAUGCAAAUAACAGAAAUAACAGAAUGGCACAUGGCUGAAUAACAGUGGCAGAUACAAUGACAGACAGACAAGCAAGCAAGAGCUAACAACACUGGUAGUUCAAAUAUGCAUCCAUCCAUGAUGAAGUUCUAUUGUCAGUUUGGUUUUAAGUACAAAAACCGCUACUACAUCUCAAAAGCUGAGAAAAAGUUUGUCAAAAACAGCAGUAACUCGACGACGACGCUGGCCUCACCCGUUUCGCUCGCCUGGCUAAGGGACAAUAAUAAUACACUCUUUUCACUAGCAUACAUGGCCUCCUAUGAACAACAGAAAGAUCAAACUUAUGUCAUCUGACCCCACCCUCCCAAAAUGUUGACUCGCUGGGAUCAAAAUGCCGACUAAUUGGCUCGGUAUGUUUAUUCUUUCUGUAAGAACACCUUUUCUACAUGACAAUUGGUGGAGAUCAAGGGACCAAAAUGUUGCCGAAGCUGUCAUCACCCCACCUGCAGUAUAUUAUCAAUCGUCGCUGUGCACCGACCUCACGGAAUGUUUGCCUCCAUGCCAUCGUUUGAGGCUCUGCUGGGCACCAGACUUCUUUGACAAUCCACCUCAAUGUCAUCAUCUGAGCUGCUGCUGCUGUUUCUGCUGCUAUAUGACAUGACAACCCAUACUAAUCCACCUGCAUGCCAUCGUUUGAGAUUCCUGGCAUACAUCUUGCAUGGACUAUGGGUGCGAGCUCUUUACUUUGGGAGCUGCCACCUUCUGCCUUUGAGCGAUCAUAAUACGCAGCAUCCUUGUACAUCCACUCGCUCCUAUCGAUGGAAUACAUGUCAUCAAACUGCUCCCCACAAAGACAGCAGAUAAUCUGGCUCUCAUCUGCAGGGACCAUAAACUCACAAGCUUCCUCUGCGGUUCCCAGGUCUGAAUCAGAUGCAGAGUCCAGGAAGAUGCUCUGCGGUUCAGGUAAUCUGUCAAUCCAGCGGCUCUUGCUAGGGUACCAUCUUUCAGGUGCGAUGCCAGUAUUUCUAGCCUCCUCUGGUCCAUUGCAGGCAGUGUGUGCACUGAGCUCAUCUUCAAGUCUGAAUCUUAAACCACAUCUUCUGCAUCGAUGGCUUUGGUCAUCAAAGAGUCUGUUGACCACCUCUGUACGGUGCUCGCGAAGCACCACUGGCUUGAACUCGAGGCCGAUUAGGUCAGCCAUCUCGACUACAGGAGGUUUGGGCAACAAAGCUUUUAUAGGGGCAGGUGUCUCCUUAGCAACUGAAGGCUGGACGAUUGGUGGAGGUGGAGCUGAAGCACUGACAUCUGAUGUGCUCAGACUUGAUUUACUGGGCUUUCUUGCAACAGCAGAUGAAUCGGUGGACGGUGAAGAAAUUAGGCCCUUUGCAACCAGAGAACUGAGAAGACUUGACAGUGGUGCAGCAGCUUUCUCAGCACUCUGUGUUGGUGGCGGACCUGGCGGCAAAGGUGGGCGGAGAGAGUUUGGUGCAUGAGGCUUCGAAGGGGCAUUUUCGCUGGCAGAGGAAGAUGGAAGAGAUGCCAACCCAUGUGAAUGUGGGACAGCGUGAUCACUUGUGUUUGGUAUGAAUCCACCCUUAAAAAGACCGGCCAACAAAUUACUAGCACUUAUCUGAUCUGACUUUGCAUGUGCGGAACCACUGGGCAAGGACACCUCUUCAGACUGCUCUUCCAUUCCGGUAGACAGAGGCAGAUGGACAGACGGUCUAAAUAGCGAUGAGGAAUUUUCUUGUGAAAAGGGUUGAUGAAAUGGCUUCGGAUGUGGCUUUGACUGCACAGCAGGGUGCUUUUGAGUCUGCUGAGAAGCCUGUGACAGAGCUGCUUGCAGACUAGGCCGACCCUGAGAAUUCGCAGAAUUUUGAGGCAAGGUAUGAGCUCUUUGGUUAUGCUCUUCCUGGGGAUUUUGACCCAAUGGCAGAAAUGGCCUGGAAGCAUAAAUGUCAUGCUCCGAGGAACUUGGGGAGCUCUCACGUGCCUGGAGAGGUGGCGAGGAAGGUGGCCAAUAUUUUUGUUUUGCACUUUCAAGGCUUGAUCGUCCAGCAUAGGGCGCUGAUAAUCCAACAGGUACAGAUGAAGUGAUGCUUGGUGAUUGAUUAGAAAACCUUGAAAUCCUGGGAUCCCGCCCAAUGUCUGGACGAGGUUUUUCCUGGGAUAACCAUACAGAGGAGCCACGAGAUUCCGGGAACUGUUGUCCUUCAGGCCACAUUUCCCUAUCAAUUCUUGGGUCCCCCUCACGCUUACUAUGAAGAUACUCUGCAUGAUCCUGAACAACAAAGAUGAUCAGAACAUAGAAAUACAGUUUAAAGGCAUGUGUGAAGAAAAUUCAACAUGGUACAUGGGAAAUCACAAGGUUUAGAACAAACAUUAUAGGUUGCAAAGUUGAAGGCAUCCCAGCAGUUAAAUGUGUCAAUAUUUACAAGUAAAUAACUUCCCAUGGCAAAAAUAGCACUGCAUAUAUUCUUUAAUAGUUUUGCUCCACAUACCAUGUACCGUGCAAGUCUUCUGUCUUGGCUUGUUGGAUGUCCAAAUCUUGGGAUGGUAUCUUGUUUGUGGAAGUCAGGGUCCAACGGGUCUGCAGGCUCUGCCCAAUUAGCCCUAUGGAAGCUUCUAAUAUUGACAUCAUCAGCCAAGGGUUCUCCUUUUCUUGCAGAACUGGCACCUCCAUAAUCUGCUCCUUGAGAACGUAUGUCGUCCCAGAUGUACUCUUCUUCCUCAGAGUUCUUCCAGCUUUUAUCAGAUGAUGACAAUCUACCAAUCCUAUCAGAAUUACUGACCGGAGUUGGGAGAAGUGCACUGUCCAAACGUACAGAGCCGGAAGAGCGAACAUCCUUAGAUGCAUACAAAUGGUUGCGUCUGUCAAAUAUUUCUUCAGGGGAACCAACACCUCCAGUGUAAUAUGAACCCACAAUUCCAUCUUGGCCUUUGGGCUUUGAGCGAACUUGACCAGCUCCCGCAAUUCCAGGGCCCCUCACAUCUCUGUCUGGCUUUUCAUGAAUGGGGUUACUAAAAGUAUCCUUCUGAGCACGCUGUAAGUUUGGCAGAUCAUACGAAAAUAUAUCAGGAAAAAUACAUAAAGAAAAACAAAGGAGGCCAAGUAAAUUACAUGUAGAAAUAUCAAAGAUCAAGAAGUAACUUACAGGCCUAGAGUUCAGAGUAUCCAGUCGUCUCCCUGUGCCUUUAUCAAUUCCAAUCCUAUUACCCCUUUCGAUAACAUCAUCAGCAUCAGAAAUUAUAGGUGUCUUGGCACCGGCUCCCAGAAUCCCCUGUCCAAAUUGAAGGGAAGCAGUAUCAGAGAAAGAUUGCACGGUGUUCAACAGAAGGGGAAAAAGCAGCUACAACACCAUGCUCGGAUGAUUUUUUACAAGAAAUGUAUAACUGUUUGAAUUUGGCUCACUGGUCAGCAGGCAGCAAAUAUCAAAAGAAUUUGAUGAAAGAAGAUGUUGCUUGCCUUAUUUGGUUGUUGGAGCUGCUGUCUUGCUUCCAAAUAUUUUGGGUUUACAUGUAUGCUGUGGGAUGGGCGCUGGGAUGGAGAAUCGGCCUUCGAUGGUGCAGCACCUGAUGACCCAUUAGUAGAUGAUUGAAAACCAAGUUCCUUCUCAAUCAUUUGCAGUGAAGCCGGAGAAAACACUCCUUUCCAUGUUCCGAAAAGGUGUCUCAUGCUAGUAUGAACAGGAGGAUCAACCUGUCUAUAGGCCUUGCAGAACACCUAUAGUAGAACAAUCAAAAGAGAAAGGGAUAACGUCAUUAGGAUGUCAAAGUCAGACUCAUCCCAUAAAAAGGAAACUGGGGUUUAUUAGGCUGUCAUGAAGAGGGUUAUGUCGAGUAAAAAAUGUAGGGUCAAGACUAACCUCAGGUAAUCUUGAAGAAAAAUGUUUAACAUAAUCUUUUCCAAUAUUCUUGACUAUACUGUCAAGCAGAUAAAGAGAUGGCAACUUCUGAUCACUUGGAACCUACAAUCACAGGCAAACAUCAAAUAAGAUAGGCAUGCCCCUCCACCAUAAUAAAACAAUUACAUUAACAACUAUCACAGAUUGACAACAGUUCAGAUAAAACAGAAGCAAGGAAAUGGUAUCAUAAGGAAACAACUCAAAAACUUUCAGAGGCCCCUCCAUGAUAAUAAAACAAUUCCAUUGACAACAGAACAAACAGAAAACAAUCUGCUACACUAAUUCUUUCGGCAAGAGUAAUCAACAGCAAAUAUUGCUAGACAAAGGAGAACCAAUAGCUGCAUGUUUUACAUGCCCCACUCUGGACACAACAACACAAUGUUUUUUUUCUACUGGUACUGAUAUCAGGAGGAGUUACCCCUGCCUCUGUAGAAGUCUAACGACGUUUCUCUUAUAAGCAUAUAUAAGAGGUGACAACAAAAUGAGUUCUAGCCAAAGAUGAUAGAUACAACAGUAGCUUCCUAAUGUUACAGAGAAGAAGCAAACAAUAAAUGGAAGUGAUUUAAGUGCCAGAGCCUAUCCAGAAGGAGCAACAGAGAAGACCCAGUGUCUGCGACAUCAGAGGUCCAGGGUUCCCCAUCCACUCAUCAUUCAAUUCAUAAAGGUUAAUCUUUGUGCAAACAUAACAGAGCCCAGCUAUAAAAGAGGUAUAGUGUUUCCUCAUCCAUUCGUCGUUCCAUUCAUAAAGUUCAGUCUUCGUGCAAACAUAUCAGAGAGUUCAGAUAUAGAUAAGCGGUUCAGGCAUAUGAAUCAUUUUUCCGUGCAGGAAAAGGUUAUGAACUUUUCUGCUGAACGGAUAGUGGAACAUCGGGAAAGAAACAGUUCCCAACGCUGUUUGUUUUUGCAACAACAAUCUUUCAAUGAUUUAGUGUGACUCAACAGCAGGAAUGAGACAGUCCCAAACCCUGUCUGUUUUCGCAACGGUAAUCUUUCAACGAUUUAGCGUGACUGAACAUCGCUGCAGCACUCGUAUCACCCAAAAGAAAAACAAAUGAUAGCAUCGUACACAAGCAGCGAACGCGCAUACACAGGCACCGAGAGACACGAAGAUACGGGAAGAGGGGGGAGGGGCAAGCUUUAUUCAUCAGCAUCGACAGAAUCAGAACGAGGCACCGUACACUCUGCGUAAGGAGACUGGGCAAAGCAAAUUCACUCUAUUUUUCCAAUGCCAUUGGCACUGCAAAUUUACUCUCGCAAUGAUUUUUUUACACACAACGCCGCCCUUGACAGCACGGAAAAAAUACAGCAAACCAAACUAACUAGCUACCAUUCAUUCAUGUGGUGACCCUCAUCAAACAAGAGCCAAGACACCCAUCCUCUUCCUAUCUAGCACACCGGAUAAAUGCUGAGCUUUGAGCUUUACAUCCCUAAACCUAGCUACCAUUCAUUCAUCGAACCACAACCAAGGAUAUGCCAAGCUUUUGAGCUUUCUUUACAUGGANNN